rnacentral:rRNA from 1 species
AAACCGACGGUGUUAUGCCUUAGUACGGCGAGUGAAGCGGCAAAAGCUCAAAUUUGAAAUCUGGCGUCUUCGACGUCCGAGUUGUAAUUUGAAGAAGGCGACUUUGUAGCUGGUCCUUGUCUAUGUUCCUUGGAACAGGACGUCAUAGAGGGUGAGAAUCCCGUGUGGCGAGGAUCCCAGUUAUUUGUAAAGUGCUUUCGACGAGUCGAGUUGUUUGGGAAUGCAGCUCUAAGUGGGUGGUAAAUUCCAUCUAAAGCUAAAUAUUGGCGAGAGACCGAUAGCGAACAAGUACAGUGAUGGAAAGAUGAAAAGAACUUUGAAAAGAGAGUGAAAAAGUACGUGAAAUUGUUGAAAGGGAAGGGCAUUUGAUCAGACAUGGCGUUUGCUUCGGCUUUCGCUGGGCCAGCAUCAGUUUUAGCGGUUGGAUAAAUCCUCGGGAAUGUGGCUCUGCUUCGGUAGAGUGUUAUAGCCCGUGGGAAUACAGCCAGCUGGGACUGAGGAUUGCGACUUUUGUCAAGGAUGCUGGCGUAAUGGUUAAAUGCCGCCCGUCUUGACCAACGGGACCA